rnacentral:rRNA from 1 species
AUGAACGCUAGCGGCAGGCCUCAUACAUGCAAGUCGAGGGGCAGCAUGGCACUUCGGUGCUGAUGGCGACCGGCGCACGGGUGCGUAACGCGUAUGCAAUCUACCUUGUACAGGGGAAUAGCUUCUGGAAACGGGAAUUAAUACCCCAUAUUAUCCACUUAUCGCAUGGUAUAUGGAUGAAAGUUCCGGCGGUACAAGAUGAGCAUGCGUCCCAUUAGCUUGUUGGUAAGGUAACGGCUUACCAAGGCAACGAUGGGUAGGGGGUCUGAGAGGAUGAUCCCCCACACUGGCACUGAGAUACGGGCCAGACUCCUACGGG